rnacentral:rRNA from 1 species
CUACGUAGGUGGCAAGCGUUAUCCGGAUUUACUGGGUGUAAAGGGCGCGUAGGCGGGGGUGCAAGUCAGAUGUGAAAUCUAUGGGCUUAACUCAUAAACUGCAUUUGAAACUGUAUCUCUUGAGUGCUGGAGAGGUAGACGGAAUUCCUUGUGUAGCGGUGAAAUGCGUAGAUAUAAGGAAGAACACCAGUGGCGAAGGCGGUCUACUGGACAGUAACUGACGCUGAGGCGCGAAAGCGUGGGGAGCAAACAGGAUUAGAUACCCUGGUAGUCCACGCUGUAAACGAUGAAUACUAGGUGUGGGGGGACUGACCCCCUCCGUGCCGCAGUUAACACAAUAAGUAUUCCACCUGGGGAGUACGGCCGCAAGGUUGAAACUCAAAUGAAUUGGCGGGG